rnacentral:lncRNA from 1 species
GGUCGUGGUUAGUGUUAUUUAUUAUGGUAAUAUCCAUACCACUGAUUAGUGUUGUUAUGGUAAUAAUCCAUACCACUGGUUAGUGUUAUUAUGGUCUGGAUUUGUUAUUAUGGUCUGGUUAGUUUGUUUGGGUAAUUCCAGACCCCUGUGUUAGUGUUUUAUGGUUGGUUAGUGUUGUUAUGGUCUGGUUUUGUUAUUGGUCUAGUUAGUGUUAUUAUGGUAAUAUCUAGACCCCUGGUGUGUUAUUAUGGUCUGGUUGUGUUAUUUGGUCUGGUUAGUGUUAUUAUGGUACUAUCCAGACCCCUGGUUAGUGUUAUUAUGGUCUGGUUAGUGUUGUUAUGGUCUGGUUAGUGUUAUUAUGGUAAUAUCCAUACCACUGGUUAGUGUUGUUAUGGUAUAUCCAUACCACUGGUUAGUGUUAUAUGGUCUGGAUAGUGUUAUAUGGUCCGGUUAGUGUAUUAUGGUCUGGUUAGUGUUUUAUGGUAAUUCCAGACCACUGGUUAGUGUUAUUAGGGUCUGGUUAGUGUUAAUAGGUCUGGUUUAGUGUUAUUAUGGUAAUAUCCACACCACUGGUUAUGUUUAUUAUGGUCUGGUUAUGUAUUAUGGUCGGGUUAGUGUUAUUAUGGUCGGUUAGUGUCAUUAUGGAAUAUCCACCAUGGUUAGUGUUAUUAGUCCUGGUUUAGGGUUAUUAUGGUCUGGUUAGUUUAUUAGUGUCCUGGUUAGUGUUUAUUAGUCUGGUUAGUGUUUUGUUUGUGGCUGGUAGUGUUAUUAUGGUCUGGUUAGUGUUAUUAUGUCUGGUUCGUGUUUUAGUAGGUCUGGUUAGUGUUAUUAUGGUUGGUUAGUGUUUGUUUAUGGUCUGGUUAGUGUUUAUUAUGGUGAAUGCCAUACAGCUGUUAGUGUUAUUAUGGUCUGGGUUACUGUUAU